rnacentral:rRNA from 1 species
AUUGAACGCUGGCGGCAGGCCUAACACAUGCAAGUCGAACGAGAGGCGGACGGGUGAGUAAUGUCUGGGAAACUGCCCGAUGGAGGGGGAUAACUACUGGAAACAGUAGCUAAUAACGCAUACCAUCGGAUGUGCCCAGAUGGGAUUAGCUAGUAGGGGGGGUAACGGCUCACCUAGGCGACGAUCCCUAGCUGGUCUGAGAGGAUGACAGGCCACACUGGAACUGAGACAAGGCCCAGACUCCUACGGGAGGCAGCAGUGGGGAAUAUUGCACAAUGGGCGCAAGCCUGAUGCAGCCAUGCCGCGUGUAUGAAGAAGGCCUUCGGGUUGUAAAGUACUUUCAGCGGGGAGGCGUUACUCGCAGAGGAAGCACCGGCUAACGCCGUGCCAGCAGCCGCGGUAAUAC